AGUGAACGCUGGCAGUAGGCCUAACACAUGCAAGUCGAACGGCAGCACAGUAAGAGCUUGCUCUUACGGGUGGCGAGUGGCGGACGGGUGAGGAAUACAUCGGAAUCUACUUUUUCGUGGGGGAUAACGUAGGGAAACUUACGCUAAUACCGCAUACGACCUACGGGUGAAAGCAGGGGAUCUUCGGACCUUGCGCGAUUGAAUGAGCCGAUGUCGGAUUAGCUAGUUGGCGGGGUAAAGGCCCACCAAGGCGACGAUCCGUAGCUGGUCUGAGAGGAUGAUCAGCCACACUGGAACUGAGGCACGGUCCAGACUCCUACGGGAGGCAGCAGUGGGGAAUAUUGGACAAUGGGCGCAAGCCUGAUCCAGCCAUACCGCGUGGGUGAAGAAGGCCUUCGGGUUGUAAAGCCCUUUUGUUGGGAAAGAAAAGCAGCAGGUUAAUACCCCGCUGUUCUGACGGUACCCAAAGAAUAAGCACCGGCUAACUUCGU
rnacentral:rRNA from 1 species